AAUAGAUUGAACAAAGAUUCGCCUGCACACUCGGCCCCACGGUUACAUUCAAGACCCCUGAAUUUUCUCAUUCAACCCUAACUUCCUAAAUUCUCUAAGUCCACUUUAACUCCUAACUUCUCUCAAGUUUCACACGUACAAGUUAUAGUUUCAAUCACUAUAUAACGACCGCAGAAACCGAAUGGGAAAAUACACACCCUAACCUCUAAUUUUCACUCCGAAAACGAAAAUUCUCACGAAACCAAAAGAACAAGGAAAGGGAAGAAUCGAUACCUGUGUUUUCGUGACGAAGAAACCAAAGAACUCGACAUCUCCAUUCUUAUUGCGACUCAUUUUUUAUUGAACAACACCAUUCUCAACAUUUUGUGAAGCGUUAUCUAUGUCACCAACUGGUCCUGCAACUUCAAUACACAUUGGGCCGAGACGUCCCUGUAACUUUAAUAGGUAACUUUGGCUUUGGCUGGCAGGUUAGCCUCUUACAUAGCUAGUUACUUUCACAACAUCGGCAGAAGAUUGUUCAUAAUUUAGAUGGAGAUUGGACAGGGUUCUAAGGUCAAGAUUCAGGAAGACUGAGUGGUAUCGAGGAUAUUUCACAUUCAACCUUAGCCACCCGCCAAUGCACUUAGUGUGAACAUCAUGUGUACAAGGUAUGUUUGAUUGUUUGGCUGCAACCUGGGCAACUAUGGUGAAGGAAUGAGGGAAAACAAAGCAUACUAGCAUAAAGCAAUUGAUGAUGGAUAAAUACUUGGUGCAAGGAAUGGUUCUUUGGUUCAUAAUUCAAAUAGGCUUAGAUUUUUACUUAGAACUCAAACAAAUUGUAACAUUCUUGGAUAAAUUAUAGCAUGACCCAAAAUUCUACUUGAGAUGUUUGAAUAGAAUUUGUAAUGAUAUUUGCAAUUCAUAAGUCCAAAA